UACGUAGGUGGCAAGCGUUGUCCGGAUUUACUGGGCGUAAAGAGCGCGCAGGCGGUCGAUUUAGUCGCGUGUGAAAGCCCCCGGCUCAACUGGGGAGGGUCACGCGAUACUGAUCGACUCGAAGGCAGGAGAGGGUAGUGGAAUUCCCGGUGUAGUGGUGAAAUGCGUAGAUAUGCGGAGGAACACCGAUGGCGAAGGCAGCCUCCUGGGAUAACACUGACGCUCAUGCACGAAAGCGUGGGGAGCAAACAGG
rnacentral:rRNA from 1 species